rnacentral:rRNA from 1 species
GAUGAACGCUGGCGGCGUGCCUAAUACAUGCAAGUCGAGCGAACAGAUAAGGAGCUUGCUCCUUUGACGUUAGCGGCGGACGGGUGAGUUACACGUGGAUAACCUACCUAUAAGACUGGGAUAACUUCGGGAAACCGGAGCUAAUACCGGAUAACAUAUUGAACCGCAUGGUUCAAUAGUGAAAGGCGGCUUUGCUGUCACUUAUAGACGGAUCCGCGCCGUAUUAGCUAGUUGGUAAGGUAACGGCUUACCAAGGCAACGAUACGUAGCCGACCUGAGAGGGUGAUCGGCCACACUGGAACUGAGACACGGUCCAGACUCCUACGGGAGGCAGCAGUAGGGAAUCUUCCGCAAUGGGCGAAAGCCUGACGGAGCAACGCCGCGUGAGUGAUGAAGGUCUUCGGAUCGUAAAACUCUGUUAUCAGGGAAGAACAAAUGUGUAAGUAACUGUGCACAUCUUGACGGUACCUGAUCAGAAAGCCACGGCUAACUACGUG